rnacentral:rRNA from 1 species
UACAGAGGGUGCGAGCGUUGUCCGGAAUCACUGGGCGUAAAGCGCACGUAGGCGGAUUGCUAAGUCAGGGGUGAAAUCCUGGAGCUCAACUCCAGAACUGCCUUUGAUACUGAAGAUCUUGAGUUCGGGAGAGGUGAGUGGAACUGCGAGUGUAGAGGUGAAAUUCGUAGAUAUUCGCAAGAACACCAGUGGCGAAGGCGGCUCACUGGCCCGAUACUGACGCUGAGGCACGAAGCGUGGGGAGCAAACAGG